rnacentral:lncRNA from 1 species
CAUGUGGUGGGCUUAUACACGGGGGGGGGGCUUAUAGUCGGAGGUUUACGGUAGAUGAUAUGAAUGAUCACGGAGCCUUUUCCUGUGCUACUUUGUUUUCCUGAUAAAUUACAUAAAUGAUAGAUUAAUGGAGCAAUUAAAUUAUAUACUGACUUUUCAUUAUACUAAAUGACUCUAACAUUCAGGUUAGACUAAAUAUAACUGAGAACUUCAAUAAAACUAUAUAUAUAUCUUCAUUUGCAAUUGAGUGUGCAUAAUGUUACAUGACAGUUGUAAAUGGACAACUUGCAUGUUAGACUAAAUUUUAAUCUAAGUAAAGAGAAGGGAAUCAAACACCACAGCAAAAAAGAACAUAAUGAAAUUAGUAAAAUUGCAAAAUUUGGUUGCGAUAUUUUGUACAUGUCCUAGUAUGGCCAUGUCAUUCAGUGCCAGGACUGACGACCGUUCAAGUACGACGAAAACGUAAAGCAAUCGCAUCAACAAAUGGAUUCUAUUAACAAGUGAGAUAUAUUUUUUACAUAUAUUGUUAAUAUUUUUUGAAUUAUUUUGUUAUUUUAAAAUAUUAUAACGGUUAAAUAUUCAAAAUAUAUAGGACGUUCAGAG